rnacentral:rRNA from 1 species
UACGUAGGUUGCAAGCGUUGUCCGGAAUUAUUGGGCGUAAAGAGCUCGUAGGCGGUUUGUCGCGUCUGCUGUGAAAACGCGAGGCUCAACCUCGCGCCUGCAGUGGGUACGGGCAAACUAGAGUGCGGUAGGGGAGAUUGGAAUUCCUGGUGUAGCGGUGGAAUGCGCAGAUAUCAGGAGGAACACCGAUGGCGAAGGCAGAUCUCUGGGCCGUAACUGACGCUGAGGAGCGAAAGCGUGGGGAGCGAACAGG